UACGGAGGAUCCAAGCGUUAUGCGGAAUCAUUGGGUUUAAAGGGUCCGUAGGCGGGAUAAUAAGUCAGUGGUGAAAGUCUGCAGCUCAACUGUAGAAUUGCCAUUGAUACUGUUAUUCUUGAGUGUGUAUGAAGUGGGUAGAAUAUGUAGUGUAGCGGUGAAAUGCAUAGAUAUUACAUAGAAAACCGAAUGCGAAGGCAGAUCACUAAUAAUUUACUGACGCUGAUGGACGAAAGCGUAGGUAGCGAACAGG
rnacentral:misc_RNA from 1 species